rnacentral:lncRNA from 1 species
UGCGCGUCGGACUGUUGACCAGAUGCACCUGCCUCAAAUCCUGUACAAUUAAGUACAGAAGUGUAGAGUGAGUACAUAAAAAUAUGUACCUAGUAAGUAUCUAGUUUAACUUCGAAGAAGUAGUGACGAAGGGUCGACUUCGACACUUACUAAGGGCCAGCAAUAUAAAAAUAUGAAAUUUUAAUUAAGCAUGAUAUAUAAAGAUAACAAUAAAACUCAGAACAAUAAAACUCAGAACAAGAAAUAACUGAACAAUUCUUUCAUCAUAUUUAAGAACCCAAAACACUUCCUUCAUUUAAAACAAAUGAUCUCUUAAACAAUGAAUUUAUACAAGUUACAAAAAGGACUUCCAAUUCUAUUAUCACACACGAAUUUCACCGAGGACAUUCGGUCUGAUCCAAUAUAAAUGUAAAUUGUGCACUACUGAAGGUCGAACGGCGCAAACUAUGGAUGCAUCUAAUUACCCUGCUCGCGAAUUAUACAUGCGACGCGGUCAAAUAUAAAUUUAUCAAUAAAUCAUAAUCCUUUCUUGAUUCUUUUCAAAAUAAAGACAAUUCAACUUGAAGAUUUAAAUCCUUGAAAAUCCUCAACUUAAUUCUAUUUGUUACAAUUAACAAAUAUAAUCAAAUAACGGUGUGCAUAAAGCAUGGUGUAAACCUAAAACUACCCGGACAUAAACAUGAAUAAUAGCUACGUACGGACUCUCGUCUCUUCGUGCAUACGUAGCCCCAACAAAUAAUGGCACAUUUUAAUUAGGUUCACCUAUGGGGUAAAUUUCCGCUUACAAGAUUAGAAAAGAGACUUACCUCGUCUCAAAGCCAACUUCCAAACUCAAGAAUGCGCUCAAACCCUCAAAUCGGAGCCGAACAAUCCAAAACUAUUCGAAUAGUGUAAAAACUAAUCAAUAUAUAUUCAAAAGUUUAUAUUCUAACUAUUUAAGUGAUUACCCAACCCUAAAUGUAAGGUUUCUAAAAUUCACCCCUGGUCCCACAUGCUCGGAUUUCGAAAAUUUUCGAAGAAAGUUAUCACCCAUAAUCUUAGGACCAUAAAUAUAUGAUUUUCACUAAGUUUCAUAAUCAUUUUCGUGGUAAAAUCUUAUUUUUUUUAUCAAAACCCUAGGUCUUCACCUAAACCCAUGAUUUCUACCAAUUUACAUAUUAUAAUCUACCCAUAAAUCAUGUAUUUAACUCACAUUGUGUCGGAAUUACUUACCUCAAAGUGUUAGGUGAAAUCCCCUCUCUAAGAGCUCCAAGAAUCGCCCCAAAAUGUAAUAAAUGAGCUCAAAAGUGUCUAAGUCCCAUAUUACAUGAUGUUCUGCCCUUUGCGAUUUUCGCACCUGCAGUCAUAGGGCCACAUCCGCGGACUCACACCUGGGGCAAGACCUUCGCAGGUGCGCCUUUUCCUAACCUUGCCGGGCUCCGCAUCUGCGAGCCCUUUCCUCUCCUACGACCAUAGUGUUCGCACCUAUGGUCUUGCAGGUGCGUAAAUUCCUCCGCACCUACGGUGCCUGGGCUCCCUUCGCCUUUCCACUUCCGCGGCUUAUGGCUCGCAUCUACGCUUGGCCAAGUGCAGGUGCGAUUAUGACAGAUCUGGGGAGCUUUAGCUCUUGCUCCAAGUUUCCAACUUGGUCUGACCCUCGUCCGAUUGACACACGGGGUCCCCACCCGAACAUGUCAACAAGUUUGGAAUUAUAAAACGGACUCGCUCGAACUCUCGAAACACCUGUAACAAUAUUAAAACCAAUUGAAUCAAACUUAAGAACUUCAAGUUCUUCAAUUUACAUCAAUGUACCUAAACUACUCGGAGUGACACCAAAUUUUGCAUACAAGUCUUAAAUGAAAUUACGGAACUAUUCUCGGUCUCGAAAUUCUAUUUUGGCCUCGAUAUCAUCAAAACCUGUUCCAAACCAAAAUUAAAGAACUUCUAAAACCUUCAAGAACCAACUUUUGCUAUUUGGCGCCAAAACAUUCCCGCGUCAUCUAAAACACGAUCUGAACAUAUGCCCAUGUCCGAUAUCAUCAUACAAACCUAUUAUAACCGUCAAAUCCCGAUUCUGAGGUCGUUUACACAAAAUGUUGACCGAAGUCAAACUUGGCCUUUUAAGCCAACCUUAAGGAACCAAGUGUUCCGAUUUCAACCCGAACUCUUCCAAAUACCGAAAUAACCAUCCCCGCAAGUCAUAAAUCAAUAAAAGCAAGUAUGAGAAGUCUUAUUUAGGGGAAUGGAUUCUAGAAAGUAAAACGACCAGUCGGGUCGUUACAUUCUCCACCUCAUAAACAAAUGUUCGUCCUCGAAUGGGGUUUAGAUUCAUACCUGAAGUGCUGAAUAACUAUGAAUAUCUGCUCCGCAUGUCCUCCUCGACUGGUUGGCCCUUCCACUAGACUUUCACCAUGGAAAUCCUCUUGGAUCUCAACUGGCGAUCUUGUCUAGCAACAAUGGUCACUGGCUUCUCCUUAUAACCCAAGCUCUUAUCUAGCUGAAUAAUGUUGAAGUCUAACACAUGUGACAAGUCGGUGUGAUACCUCCGAAGCAUAGACACGUGAAAAAUCAGAUGAACCCCUGAUAGGCUGGGAGGUAAAGCAAGCUCAUAAGCAACCUCCCAAUCCGUCUCAACACCUCAAAUGGGCCUAUAAACCUUGGGCUAAGCUUGCCCUUCUUUCCGAAUCUCAUAAUUCCCUUCAUUGGUGAGACCUUCAAGAGAACCUUCUCGCCUACCAUAAAUGAUACAUCACGUGCCUUUUGAUCCGAGUAACUCUUCUGUCUGGACUAUGUUGUGUGACGUCGCUCCUGAAUCAACUUUACCUUUUCUAAGGCAUCCUUCACCAAAUCAGUACCAUAUAACUUAGCCUCUUCGGGCUCAAACCACCCGAUGGGAGAACGACAUCGCCAACCAUAUAAGGCCUCAAAUGGAGCCAUCUCGAUGCUGGACUGAUAACUGUUGUUGUAAGCAAACUCAGCUAUAGGAAAGAACUGAUCCCACUGUCCCCAAAGUCAAUCACACAUGCUCUGAGCAUGUCCUCUAAGAUCUAAACUGUCAGCUCUGACUGCCCGUUAGUUUAUGGAUGGAACGCAGUGUUGAGCUCUACACGGGUCCCCAACUCACUCUGUAUGGCUCUUAAGAAAUGCGAAGUGAACUGAGGGCGCCUAUCUGAUAUGAUGGAAACAGGCACCCCGUGCAACCGAACUAUCUCUCGAUUAUAAAUCUGGGCCAACCUCUUUGAAGUAUAAGUAGUUACAAUCGGAAUGAAGUGUGUCAACUUGGUCAGCCUGUCGACAAUGACCCAUACUGCAUCAAACUUCCGCAAAGUCCGCAGCAACCCAACUACGAAGUCCAUAGUAAUGUGCUCCCAUUUCUACUCUGGUAUAGUCAUCUGAUGGAGUAGGCCACCUGGCCUCUGGUGCUCAUACUUAACCUACUGACAAUUUAGGCACCUAGCUACAUACUCAACUAUGUCUUUCUUUAUCCGUCGCCACCAAUAAUAUUGUCCCAGGUCACGAUACAUCUUCGUAGCACCUGGAUGAAUGGAAUACCGAGAACUGUGUGCCUCUUCUAGAAUCUUCCCUCUCAAGCCACCGACAUUAGGAACACAUAGACGACCCUGGAGUCGUAGAACACUAUUCUCGCCGAUAGAAACCUCCUUGUCACUACCCUAUAGUACCUUCUCUCUGAGAACUGCCAAGUGCGGAUCAUCAAAUUGUCGAGCCUUCAUCUGCUCCAAUAGUGAAGACUGAGCAACAACACAUGCGUGAACCCUGAUGGGCUCUGACAUAUCCAAUCUCACAAGUCUGUUAGCCAAGGACUGAAUGUCCAAGGCUAGUGGCCUUUCCUAUGCUAAAAUGAAUGCCAAGCUACCCAUACUCUCUGCCUUUCUGCUCAAGGCAUCCGCGACUACAUUCGCCUUGCCUGAAUGGUAAAGAAUAGUGAUGUUAUAAUCCUUCAGUGACUCGAGCCAUCCACGCUGCCUUAAAUUGAGAUCCCAUUGCUUGAACAAAUGCUGUAAGAUUUGAUGAUCGAUGUAAACCUCACAUGACACCCCAUAAAGAUAAUGCCUCCAGNUCUNAAGAUNNNNNNNNNNNNNGCAUCAAUACACAACCCAAACCAACGCAUGAAGCGUUGCAAUACACCGUAUACAUCCCUAAAUAAGAAGGCAACAUUAGAAUCGAUGUUGUAGUCAAAGUUGUCUUGAGCUUCUGAAAGCUCGCCUCACAGUCAUCGGACCAACGGAACUGAGCACCCUUUUGGGUCAAUCUAGUUAGAGGUGCUGCAAUGGAUGAAAAAGCCUGCACAAACCGGUGAUAAUAACCUACUAACGCAAGGAAAUUCCUGAUCUCAGUCACUAAAGUAGGACGAGACCAACUCUGAACUCCCUCAAUCUUUUUGGGAUCCACCUUAAUACCCUCGCCUGAUACAAUAUGCCCCAAGAAUGCUGCAAACUCUAGCCAAAACUCACACUUGGAGAACUUGGCAUACAACUUCUGUUCUCGCAAUGUCUGAAGCACCACUCUUAAAUGUUGCUCAUGCUCCCCCAGGCUAUGUGAGUAGAUCAGAAUGUCAUCAAUGAAGACAGUGACGAACAAAUCAAUAUAAGGCCUGAACACCCUGUUCACUAAAUCCAUAAACGUUGUUGGGGCAUUAGUCAAGCCGAAGGACAUCACCAGAAACUCAUAAUGGCCAUAUCUAGUAUGGAAAACAGUCUUCGGAACAUCUGAGUCCCAAAUCUUCAGCUGAUGGCACCCUGACCUCAAGUCGAUCUUAGAGAAUACCCUAGCACCCUGCAACUGGUCAAACAAAUCAUCGAUACAUGACAAUAGGUACUUGUUCUUGAUGGUAACUUUGUUCAACUGGCGGUAAUCAAUGCACAUCCGCAUAGUCCCAUCUUUCUUUUUCAUAGAUAACACUGGUUCACCCCAAAGUGAUACACUUGGUCUCACAAACCCCUUUGCUAACAACUCCUCAAGUUGCUCCUUCAACUCCUUCAACACUUUUGGAGCCAUACGGUAUAGUGGGAUAGAUAUAGGCUGGGUACCUGGAGCCAAAUCAAUACAGAAACAAAUAUCACAAUCUAGUGGCAUGCCUGGAAGGUCAGAAGGAAACAUAUCGGCGAACGCUCAGACUACUGGCACUGAAUCAAUCGUCGAAGACUCUACGGUGGUAUCCCAAGCAUAGUCUAGAUAAGCCAACAACCCUUCUCGACCAUAUGUCGAGCCUUCAAAAAAGAGAUGACCUGACUAGCUGUACUAAUAGAGAAACCCUUCCAUUCCAAUCUCGGUAACUCUGGUAUCGCUAAGGUAAUAGUCUUGGCAUCGCAAUCAAGGAUGGAGUGAUAUGGGGAUAACCAAUCCAUGCCUAGGAGGACCUCAAAGUCAGUUAAAUCAAGUAACAAAAAGUCCACUCUAGUCUCGUAACUACAGAAUGCGACCACACAGGACUGAUAGAUCAGAUCCACAACCAUAGAGUUGCCCACUGGAGUGGACACAUAAAUAGGAGUACCCAAGGACUCACGAGAAAUAUCCAAGAAAUGAGAAAACAGAGAUGAUACAUAUGAAUAGAUAGACCUAGGAUCAAAUAAUACUGAAGCAUCCCUACCGCAGACAGAAAUAAUACUUGUGAUCACGACAUCUGAGGCCAUUACAUCUGGUCUGGCCAGAAAAGCAUAGAAUCUAGUUGGAGCGUCGGCUGGCUGGCCUCCACCUAACUGAACAAUAGUUGGCUGACCUCCCCCUUCUUGGCCUCCACCUGUAAGACGGCCCCUACCCGUCUGUCCCACACCUUUGGGCAUAAGGACAGCUGGUGCUGCAAUCUUAGGCUGAUGACCCUACUGUACUGCCUUGCCCCAAAGUCUGGGACAGGUUCUCUUCAUGUGACCCGGAUCUCCACACUCGUAACAACCUAUCGGUACUAUAGACUACUGCCCUGAAGUCUAACCCUGAUGGCCUGAAUACCCACUAGAAGAACCAUGAAUGGCUGGUGGGCGGUAUGAACUCUCUAGUAUGGCACUAAAUAGGCACUAGAAGAACCCUAAUGAGCUGGUGGGCGAAAAGAACUCUCGUACAUAGCACUGAAAUAGGGUCGUGUUGGAGCACCCCGAGGAGGUGGUGGUGCUGGAUAUGUGGGCCUCCUAGGCUGACCCAUCCCAAACUGACCUAUGCCCCUAGCCGGGGCACCUCUAAACUCUCUAGAUAAUUGGACCCUUUUGUCCUGCUGCAUUUUCUCUCUGCCCCUCUAGCGGUAGCCCUUAAUCCUUCAAGCAAUCUCCACCACUAGCUGAUAAUCAGUACACAUCUCAACCUCCCGGGCCAUACUAGCCCGAAUACUGGAGUGCAACCCUACAACAAAUCUCUGCACUCUCUAUGCGUCCUUAGGAAGUAUCAUAAGUGCAUGGCGAGACAACUAAGAAAAUCUCGCCUCAUAAUUGGUCACGGACAUCUGACCCUGCUCGAGCUGCUCGAACUAAUAUAACACCCUGUUAAUUUGGCUUAGGUAUGGACAUGUUAAAUGAAUAGUAAUAGACAUGUAAAGUUCUAUUGGUAUGAGUAUGGGUAGAAAUAGUUGUUUUAGAAUCAAGAUAGAGAGUGAGGUGCAUAAGAUUCGACAAAAUUGGCUAAGUUUACAAAAGGUCCUUCUUCCAGCAGAAUUUAGUGAAAAUAUGUAAGGAAUUUGGGAAAACUCAAAACAAGAAAGUUGUAGGCCUUUAAAAUAUAUUUCUAAAGAUAUAUUAUGGAGCCCUAAUGGAUCUAUGUGAAAAAUUUUAUGUGUGUUUUACAGAGCAGUGCGCUAUAUGCAUGCCCAGGUGCGCAUCCAGAGGGUCACGUGCGCAGCCGCACACUUGUGGCAGUGCUACUGCCAUUUUGCGCGGUCAGGUGCGUAGUCAGGACUUUACGUGCAUGGGGAAAGCACUUGGAGGUCAUUUUAAAGCGCUACCUUUGUCCCCCCCCCCCCCCCCGAAACACAAAAACUUGCUCUAGGAAGGGGAGCUCUCAAAAACCUAACUCCUUAAAGAUCUCUCCACUAUCCAAGGUAAGUUGUAAUGGUGAUUCUAAGUUAAUUUCAAUUUUCCAACAUCUUAUUAACAUGAUUAAACCCUCCAUAUCAUUAGAUAUUCGAUUGAGACAUCAUUGUUGAGAGAAGGAACCCUAGAACUCGAAUUCAAGGGGAUUGAACUUCAAAAAGGUAAUGUCUUCGCCCUUUAAUUGAUUCUAGCAUUGAAUUAAUGAUUAUAGACUCUAGUUCAUGAGAUAUGAGUUGAUGGGUUUGAUAGAAAAACAUGAACGAAUUAUAGGUUUGGGUUGUUGAUUAGUUAUUAUUGGUUAAGGGUGUUGUUUACCUUAUGGGUGAUGAAGAAUGAUGUUGAUUAUAACUAUUUGAGACUUUAGAAUUUAUCUAGGAGCAAGAGAAUGGGUUGUUGGGUGUAACACCAUUAAUGUCACAACCCUAAAACCAACCGGUCGUGAUGGCGCCUAUCAUGAAACUGGGCCAGCCAACACAACUCUCGAAUUAACCAUUAAUCAAUAAAAGUCAUUUUUAAGUCUUUAAUUAUUAAAAUAUUUCAUAAUAACAGUUUAAAUGAACAGUGCGGAAUAAAUACACAAGCCCGACAUCAGGGUGUCACAAGUAACGAGCAUCUACUAAGGUCUUAAUAUAACGAAGAGUCUAAAAAUAUCCUAAAUACAAUGCAAGGAAGACAAGAGGGAGAAAAGUAGUGCUGCGAACGUCGGGCAGCUACCUUGCUAACUCCGAUGACUCUGCCACUGAGAAAUCAGCACCCGCUACCGGAUUCAGAAUUUCCUGAAUCUGCACACAAGGUGCAGGGAGUAAUGUGAGUACGCCAAAUCAGUAAGUAAUAAAAGUAAAUGAAAGUUGAGCAGUAAGAAAAUACGUAAACCACGUCAAAAUGCUACAACAAAUACAUGAUAUUUCCAACACAGUACAGAAAUCAUUUCUUCGUAAAUCAUGCUCAGUUUCGGUAAAAUCCUUUUAAAACAAUUUUCAAUAGUUUCAAACGAGUGAUAAAACUGUGAGUAAACAUGAUAGAAAUGUAAACUGCCCCUCGGGCAAAACAUGUACCAUAAAUCGUCCCUUGGUCAUAAUAUCAACAGAACAAGUCCCUCAGGCUACCUCACAAUCACUCGUAAUCAGCCUCUCGGGCUAUAUCACAUCUCACGUUGGGUACCCGCGCUCACUAGGGGUGUACAAACUCCGAGAAGGCCCCCUUAUGGCCCAAGCACAAUAACAAGUCAUCUAGUGGCAUAAUCAAACAGGCUCUCGGCAUCAUAUCAAGCCAUCUCAUGGCAUAACAAAUCAUUUCCUCGGCCUCAUAAUCAUAAAUCAGUAUAAUAAUGCUGCGGUGCGCAGCCUGAUCCCGUAGUAUCCUCACAACACAGGCCCUCAGACUUACUCAGUCAGAAUCUCACCAGCCACUCGGGCAACAGUAAAACAUGAUGCUCAGUCCAAAAUAUCAUUUAAAAUACCAAAAGCGAGUAAAAAUGGCUGAGUUAUGAAAAUAGUAGAAUAUAGCAUGACUGAGUACAAAUAUAAAGUCAAAAUAGUGAGGAAUAGUAGUGAAAUUCCCCUAAGGGUCCAAGCAGUUGGCACGAGGCCCACAUAUGGCAUUCAGCCUAAAACAUGAUGAUAGCAAAUAGUUUUAAAUCAAAUACGUGACUAAACAGUCAUACGGGAUGGACUAAGUCACAAUCCCCAAUGGUGCUUGACUCCACGCUCGUCAUCUAGCGUGUGCGUCACCUCAAAGUAACACAAUGAUGUGAAGUCCAGGGUUUCAUGCCCUCAGGACAGACAUUUAUAAUCAUUACUUACCUCUAUCCGGUCCAAACUCUAGCUCGCGAUGCCCUUGCCUCUCGUUUCGGUCUCCAAAUGCUCCAAAUCUAACCAAAUACAGAUUUACACCAUCAAAAUAUGCUAAGGGAACAAAGCCCACUUGAAAAUAACCAAUUUACAUAAAUAAAUCCCGAAAUUGGCCAAACCUGACUCCCGGUCCCACGUCUCAGAUUCAGAUAAAAAUCACAAAACUAGAAUCCUUAUACUCUCACGAGUUCAUACAUAUCAAAUACAUCAAAUCCGACCACAAAUGACCCCUCACAUCCCUAGAUUUAGGUCUCCAAUUUUUAAACCCUAACUUCCAAUUUUGCUAUUGAUUUUCUCAUAUAAUUCAAGCUUACAACCUUAAAAAUCAUCAUAAAAACGAGCUUAGGAACUAAGGACAUUACCUCAAUGAAUCUUUCUGAAAAUCUCCCUUGAAAUUGCCCCCAAAAGCUUCUUCCCAAAUGAAAUAUUGAGAAAAAUGGCCAAAAAUCGCGAAGGGUGGAAUUUAUAGUUUCUGACCCAGCAAAACUGCACCUGCGGUUAAAUGGUCACACUUGCAGACCCGCACCUGCGGUCCCAGGUGCGCACCUACAAAAUUCACUUAAAACUCCAUGUCCGCAUCUGCGGAAAGAAAUCCGCACCUACGAAAUCGCAGGUGCAACCAGGACCUCGCUUCUACGGUCCCAGCCUGCCCCUCUCCUGGCCGCUUCUGCGGCUCCAAAAUCCACUUCUGUGAGUCUGCACCUACGGUCCCCUAGCCGCAGGUGCGGUUAUGAUAGCAACAGAAAACUUCAGCUGCCAAACCCAACUCAAAAUCACCCGUUAACCAUUCGAAAUCACCUCGAGGCCCUCGGGACCUCAACCAAAAGCAUGAACAAGUCAUAUACCACUAACAAAAUGUAUGCCAAUCUUAAAGCCACCUCAAACAAUAUCGAAUCAACCAAAUAACAUCGGAUUCAAGCCUAAGGUUCUAAGAAUCUUCCGAAUUCCACUUUUGAUCAAAACGUCUACCAAAACUCGUCCGAAUGACCUGAAAUUUUGCACACAGGUCACAAAUGACACAACAGACCUACUCUAACUUCCAGAAUUCCAUUCCGACCCCUAUAUCAAAAUCUCACCUAUCAACCGGAAAACACCAAAAUUCCAAUUCCGCCAAUUCAAGCCUCAAUCUACUCCGGACCUCCAAAACACAUUCUGAUCACGCUCUCUAAGUCCCAAAUCACCUAACAGAGCUAACGAAAUCAUAAAAAUUCCAAUCCGAGAUCAUAUGCUAACAAGUCAAAACUUGGUUAAACUUUUCAAAUUUUAAGCUUCAAACUGAGAACUGUCCUUCCAAAUCCAUUCCGAUUACCCUGAAAAACCAGAACCGACGAUUUGCAUAAGUCAUAACACAUCACACGGGGCUAGUCAUGCCCGAGAACUGGCAAGCAAAGUACAAAAGCUCAAAACGACCGGUCGGGUCGUUACAUCCUCCCCCACUUAAACAUACGUUCAUCCUGGAACGUGCCCAGUAUUGUUCCAAAACCAUCAAAUCGCUGAGUAACAUUACCAUGCACAUACCCGGGGGUGAUACCACGUCACCCUAUCUCGUAUAGGUCUGAUAACACAAUGUAACUGAAAUUUCACAAUCCUACCUAGCCCAUAAACCUUAGAACCACAUCUCCACUUCUGAAAUCAUCUAUAAGAUCAGAAUCUCACAUAUAUACUCUGAAUAAGUCCGAACAAGCUGUAACAAACUAUAUUUGUAACCCUAGAUGCAAUCACAAGAUAUACCGUAUAAAUCAGACACUUAUAGUGAUAACUUCAAAUCACAGCAGUUGCUCAAAACAACCGAAUACCAAUAACAAAUCUCUUAUCAAACAAAGACUCAUUCUAACACUUCCGUAUACUGCCAAUGAUAAAUGAAACACGUAAAAAGUCAUACAAUUCCUCAGAUCAACCAUCUGUGAAACCCCUUCUCCUUUGGCAAGGACCAUAGCAAAAUUUUGAGCCAAACAUCGAGAUUAUCCUUCCAACACACUAAAACCGAAUUCGUUUGUAUUCAUUCUAGAUCCCAAUGAUCUCGUCUAAUCCAACACAACUACUCUGGUGACAUGACACAUCAAUACAAUCUAAAGCCACAAUUCGUGCAAUCCGCGCACCAAUAAGCAACAAUCCAAACAUACUCAAAUCAUGAAAAGGACUCAAAUGAGAGAGCCGUACUGCAAGCUCACCAGUACACCACAACACAUGCUAGGAACCCAUCACACAUCGUAGAAACAGAACACACGAAUCCAACCCAAAGGGUCAUACCUCCAUAUAACUUUGCUGCAAUGCGCGACACUAUCCGAAUACCGGUCCACAUGAAGCACCUCCAGUCACUAUGCUCAAAAUCGACAACCACGCGCAAUUUGAUAUCUAGAACCAAAGCAAAUCAUCAUGAUCACGGCAAAGCAAUUGACAUAACAUUACACAAACUCGAAAGGACACAACCAAUACGCCAUCCGCCGAGCAAUACCCAAUACUCUUCCCGCUCGAAUUCCACUGAGAGGCCCUAAUAAAACCGCACCACAUGUGCUUAUAACCAACAAAUCUUAACUCUUCGCAACACGGAAAGACAACUCAUAGAUCUCCCCAGAUCACUAAUAAGCUUAAUAACAAUCGAAUCAACACAUCCUUCAACAAUACAACUCGGAGCCAACCAAGUCGACUCGAGUUAGAACACACAUCCAUAUUGGCCUACCAAUGAACCCCUUAACAAGGAGUUCCUGAAGCUGCUCCUUUAACUCCUUUAACUCAGCCGGUGCCAUACGGUACGGUGCCCGGCACCAAAUCAAUACCGAAAUCAACAUUCCUAGCCGACGACAUGCCCAUCAAUAGGAUCCGAAAAAUCCCUCACCACCGGAACUGAAUCAAUGGUAGAAGUCUCUACACUGGCAUCCAUCACGAAGGCCAAAUAAGAAGGACAGCCCUUCCUAGCCAUCCGCUGGGUCUUCAAAAAUGAAGCCACCCUACUGGGUACAUAAUCCGUCGAACCUCGUCACUCAAUCCGCAAAAUCCCCGGCAUAGCCAAUGCCGUCGCCUUAGUGCAACAACCUAGAAUAACACGACAUAGAGACAACCAGUCCAUACUCAAUAUCACACCAAAAUCUAGCAUACUAAGCAAUAAGGAUCCACUCGAGCCUCCAAACCUCCAAUAGUCACCACACCAAGCCGAUACGCAUGCCCCACAACCACAACAUAACCUGUCUAUGAGACGUUCCGGUCUCCGAGUCCAUAAAGCACAUGAAUCUCCAUAUCCGAUCCCAAUUCCACCGUUCGAAUGUACAACACACCUCCAAUACCCAAUCAUCCCACGAGAGGUACUCCUAUAAUUCUUCUGUGCCACCAAGCAACCUCAAAUAUCAGUAGUCGAUCCAACAAGAGAGUGCCGCAAUACUAAUGAAGUAUCCUCAAUUCGAAUACAUCACCCUUUCUAAAAUGUAUUCCCUCAUCAAGCUACACCAAUCAGCAAUAUCAUUUGCCUAAUCAUCUGAAACCACCCAUGUUGUCUAAGACUUUAUGACCCUUUCUUUCAUAACUGAACUGUGACCUUACACAUGAAAAUUUUAACCCUACACAACAUACCACAUAUACCAUGCCAUAAUAUGAUAAAUAUGAGAACUUUAUAACCCCUUCCGAGCCACAAGCAGCUACGUACUUAACUAGUCAAGAACUUUCCAUUGAUCCUAUCUAGAAGAAAAUCACUACACAUCCUAUGUUUCUCACGCUCGUAGAAAAUAUACAUCUCUAACCAUGAUAGAAACCAUCAAGAACUCUCCGGAUUCCAUUUGCACAAAACUACACCUGUCAGGACUAAAUCCUUCUAACUCAACCAAGCUACGCAGGCCACUAAAACAAGAGCAUUGCCGCGAAACACCUGUAGAAACUCAUCACCUUGUAGGCACCCAAAGAACUAAUCAUACCUAUCACCAUGUCGAUCCAACCUACUACCAAGUUGUCCUCUCAAAUAUUCCCAAAAGCACCACAUUCAUAAUACCUACCCUGAAGAGACUUCCUGUGAAUCCAAAGUCAUUACCUUCACCUUCCUGAUACUGAUAUAUGGAAUCCCAUAAUUGAUAUAGAAAUGCCACAAGUCUUGACUCCGUCAAAUGCAAACCUCAGUUUCUAGCAAAAUAUACAUCCUGAAGAUCUUCAGUUAUCACAUGUAAACUCUUAAACCUACUAGAACCAUUCUCGAGAGUCAUCCACUCUACUCUAACCGAAAUUAGACUAAUCAAACGGACCGGACGAUCUGUGAUCCAAUAGUACUCCACACCACAGAAUGUAACCUCACCUUAAUGCAACCAAGCAACUUCCCGUUCUAUGCACCGUACAUCCUUUACCAAUAACAACUCAAGUCAUUCCGUGAUUCUCGUACACCCAUAAAGCAUAACAUAACCUUUAUUGAAAUUUCCUUUACUCGAGCCAUCCUCGGUCUCAACCUCCUUAAGCCAUAAUCGAUUCACCAGUACGCCUCCAACUAGAACCAACAUUGCACAUAACCGUGCAAUCAACUAGCCAAUAGCAGACUCCCCCACUUGGCUCAAAGCCAUAGAUCAAAAAACACAAUAACUCAUAAUGCAUACACUCUAUUACUGCCAUAAUACCAUAGUGAGAUUGAACUAAAUUCUUCAUAAGCUCGUACAACACAGACCAUCUAGUACUUCAAAUCUUCUGUAAAUCUCGCAUUCACCCUCGUAACAGUCAAGCCCACUCUCUUAAGCGAUCAAAAUUCAAAUUGUACCACAUAUAUUUCACUGGUAAAAGAGGUCUUCCAACAAACAACAUAAGGAUUACAUAAACUUCAGAACAAUCCGCAGGAGAUAACCCACUUGCCUCACCUCAAACUAACAUCUCAUUAUACCCUUCUGCCAUCAUAAACAUUACACAAUCACUUAAUCUUCCUGAGUCUGAACUCAUAUCACAACGUGUAAUCUACUUCACUUCACAACUAGGAAACAUGAAAAGGUCCUUCAACACGCCCACAACUCGGGCUAAACAUCAAAUCACGAUGGAAACCAAGCACCAAAUAAUUCUUUCUACCUUCAAGCGGCCCCUUCUCGUCACAUUCAAAUCAUAUGGACACCUUUUGUCGUCACAUCAUACUCAUCAAAUAGCCAUCCGAUCAUCAUUUCUCUUAAUAGGGACACAAUCAAAUAUAUAGAUCCAGAAACACGCGCUCGCGCAAUCAACAGCUCAGGGCUCAAGCUGUAGGCAAAAUCCGGCCUCAAGUCUUCCAGACUGGCCCAACAUCAACACAGAGAGACCACAUCUCGCCCCUCGAUCAGGGAAUCACAAGCCAUCGAUGUAUAUUUGAUACUGAGUGCUCAUGCGCUCAUACGAACGCGUGGAAGGAAUUCAAAAAGUUGCAUUUCAAGCUGAAUCAAGGACGCAUGAUAAGAAUUCAAGAAUGUGAAGUUUUUCCUAAAGGUUCUGUAGCCUCCCGAGGAUAAGUACAGACGUCUUCGUACCGAUCUAUGAGAUUCUACUAAACCUGCUCAUGAGUCGUGAGACCUAUGUAACCUAACCUCUUAUACCAACUUGUCAUGACCCUAAACCGACCCGGUCAUGAUGGUGCCUACCAUGAAACUAGGCCAGCCGACACAACUCCCGAAUUAAUUAUUAAUCAAUAAAAGUCAUUUUUAAGUCUUUAAUUAAUCAAAUAUUUCAUAAUAAGAGUCUAAAUGAACAGUGCGGAAUAAAUACACAAGCUCGACAUCGGGGUGUCACAAGUCACGAGCAUCUACUAAGGUCUGAAUACCACAAAGAGUCUAAAAAUAUCCUAAGUACGAUAUAAGGAAGACAAAAGGGAGAAAAGCAGUGUUGUGAACGUCGGACAGCUACCUUGCUAACUCCGAUGACUCUACCACUAAGCAAUCAGCACCCGCUACUGGGUUCAGAAUUUCCUAAAUCUGCACACAAGGUGCAGAAAGUAAUGUGACUACGCCAACUCAGUAAGUAAUAAAAGUAAAUGAAAGCUGAGCAGUAAGAAAACACGUAAACCACGUCAAAACGCUAUAACAAAUGCAGGAUAUUUCCAACAUAGUACAGAAAUCAUUUACUUCAUAAAUCAUGCUCAGUUUCGGUAAACUCCUUUAAAACAAUUUUCAAUAGUUUAAAACGAGUGAUAAAAUAGUGAGUAAACAUGAUAGAAAUGUAAACAGCCCAUCGGGCAAAACAUGUACCAUAAACUGUCACUCGGGCAUAAUAUCAACAGAACCAGCCCCUCGGGCUACCUCACAAUCACUCGUAAUCAGCCCCUGGGGCUAUAUCACAUCUCACACUAGGUAUCCGCGCUCACUGGGAGUGUACAGACUCUAGGAGGGGCCCCUUACGGCCCAAGCACAAUAACAAGCCAUCUCAUGGCAUAAUCAAACAGGCUCUCAUCGUGGCAUAACAAAUCAAGCCCUCGGCCUCAUAAUCAUAAAUCAGUAUAAUACUGUUGUGGCGCGCAGCCCGAUCCCAUAAUAUCCUCACAACACAGGCCCUCGGCCUUACUCAGCCCAAAAUAUCAUUUAAAAUACCAAAAGCGAGUAAAUAUGGCUAAGUUAUGAAAAUAGUAGAAUAUAGCAUGACUGAGUACAAAUAUGAAGUCAAAACAGUGUGGAAUAGUAGUGAAAAUCCCCUAAGGGUCUAAGUAGUUGGCACGAGGCCCAAAUAUGACAUUCAGCACAAAACAUGAUGAUAACAAAUAGUUUUCAACAAAUACAUGACUAAACAGUCAUACGGGACAGACUAAGUUACAAUCCCCAAUGGUGAACGACCCCACGCUCAUCAUCUAGUAUGUGUGUCACCUCAAAGUAGCACAACGAUGUGAAGUCCGGGGUUUCAUGCCCUCAGGACAGACAUUUACAAUCAUUACUUACAUCUAUCCGGUCCAAACUCUAGCUCGCGAUGCCCUUGCCUCUCGACUCGGUCUCCAAAUGCUCCAAAUCUAACCAAAUACAGAUUUAUACCAUCAAAAUAUGCUAAGGGAACAAAGUCCACUCAAAAAUAACCAAUUUACAUCAAAAAUCUCGAAAUUGGCCAAACUCGAUCCCCGGGCCCACAUCUCAAAUUCCGAUAAAAAUCAUAGAACUAGAAUACUUGCACUCUCAGGAGUUCAUACAUAUCAAAUACAUCAAAAUUCGACCACAAAUGACCCCUUAAAUCCCUAGAUUUAGGUCUCCAAUUUCCAAGCCCUAACUUCCAAUUUUGCUACUGAUUUUCUCAUAUAAUUAGAGCUUACAACCUUAAAAAUAAUCAUAAAAACGAGCUUAGGAAUCAAGAACCUUACCUCAAUGAAUCCUUUUGAAAAUCUCCCUUGAAAUUGCCCCCAAAAGCUUCUUCCCGAAUGAAAUAUUGAGAAAAAUCGCCAAAAAUCGAGAAGGGUGGAAUUUAUAGUUUCUGACCCAGCAAAACCGCACCUGCGGUUAAAUGGUCGCACCUGCGGACCUGCACCUGUGGUCUUAGUGUGCACCUGCGAAAUUCACUUAAAACUCCACGGUCGCAUCUGCGCAAAGAAAUUCGCACCUGCGAAAUCUCAGGUGCGAGUAGGACCUCACUUUUGCAGUGCCAACCUGCCCCUCUCCUAGCCGAUUCUGCGGCUCCAAAAUCCGCUUCUGUGAGUCCGCACCUGUGGUCCCCUAGUCGCAGGUGCGGUUAUGAUAGCAACAGAAAACUUCAGCUACCAAACCCAACUCAAAAUCACCCGUUAACCAUUCGAAAUUACCUCGAGACCCUCGGGACCUUAACCAAAAGUACGAACAAGUCAUAUACCACUAAUCAAACUUAUGCCAAUUUUUAAGCCACCUCAAACAACAUCGAUCAACCAAAUAACAUCGGAUUCAAGCCCAAGGUUCUAAGAAUCUUCCGAAUUCCUCUUUUGAUCAAAAAGUCUACCAAACCUCGUCCAAAUGACCUAAAAAUUUGCACACACAUCACAAAUGACACAAUGGACCUACUCUAAUUUCUGGAAUUCCAUUCUGACCCCUAUAUCAAAAAUUCACCUAUUAACCAAAAAAUGCCAAAAUUCCAAUUCCACCAAUUCAAUCCUAAAUCUACUCCGGACCUCCAAAACACAUUCCGAUCACGUUCCUAAGUCCCAAAUCACCUAAUGGAGCUAACCAAAUCAUAAAAUUUCUAAUCUGAGAUCAUAUGCUAACAAGUCAAAACUUGGUCAAACCAUUCAAAUUUUAAGCUUCAAAUUGAGAACUGUCCUUUCAAAUCCAUUCUGAUUACCUUGAAAACCAAAACCGACGAUUUGCAUAAGUCAUAACACAUCACACAGGGCUAGUCAUGCCCGAGAACUGACGAUCAAAGUGCAAAAUCUCAAAACGAUCGGCCGGGUCGUUACAAUUAAUAAGGACUAUGAAGCUUUAUUCUCACCAAGUGUUUGAUAAAAUGCUUAAAUGACCAAAACAUGACUAUCAUAGCUAAUAUGGAAUCCCUUUGACUUGUAUUGCUAUAAAUUAAAUUUGAAAGGGUUAACAAAUGUUGUAUUAUUCUCAAGAGUGGCAAGUUAAGGUAUGUGAGGCUAAAUCUCUAUGUUUGGGAAUGUUAAUGAUUCUCCCUACACUAUGUUUCUUUUACGACAUUUUUAAUUGCCUUAGAAAUAUAGUUUAGCCUAGUUCCUUGAAUAGUUGUAGAACUUCUAUUCUCUAACUUCAUAACUCGUUUAUGACCAUCAUUCUGAACGUUGUGAGGUUAGUGCAUAUUCAAUAUAGACUUGGGUUUGAUGCACCCGAGUCUUAGUAUAGUUUACUCAGUAUGCCAUAAACAGUUGAAGUUUCGGUGUUCAUAAUCAAUUCAAGAAUACAUGUCUCAGUCUAGUCGUAUUCAGUAUUCCAGUAUUAUGUAACUCAGUGUGAUCCAGUAUUCCAAUAUCAUGUAACUCAGUGUUAUUUAGUAUUUCACUAUCAUGUAUUGCAGUAUGAUUCUCAGUUCCUAAUUUUAAAUCCCUGAAUGUUGAACACCUGUAUUUGGGCCUAAGGCCGCAGUUAAUGCUUAUGCAUCUUUGGGCCUGAGGCCGUAGUUAAUGCUUUAUACAUCUUUAGGACUGAUGCUGCAGUUAUGUAUACGUAUACUUGGGCCCGAGGCCGUAGUUGUGCACAUAUAUAUUGGGCCUGAGGCCGCAAUUUAAUAGUUAGAUAAAUAGGUUGUUCAUCAUUCAGAAGAGGGAGUAUUCAUAUCCUUACUUCCUUUGUUCAGUUCAGUUAUCAAUUAUCAUUUUAGUUGUCAAUUAUCAAUUAUUAUUUAUGUUAUCAUUUUAGUUACCAGCUAUCAGUUAUUAGUUAUCAUUUCAAUUUCAAUUUUAAUAGUUAUUAUUUUAGUUAUCAAUUAUCAAUUCUCAGUAAUCAGCUCAGUAUUAGUUUUAGCAUUUAUAGUUAUUUCAUUCAGUUGCUUUGCAUACCAGUGCAAAUCAAAUGUACUGACGUCCCUUUUGCCCGGGGCCUGCAUCUCACAAUGUAGGUAAUGAUUUAUAUAUUGACGAUUCAGAGCGCUAGGAUUAAGUGUAUCAGAGCCCUAGGUUUAAGUGUACUAGGGAGUCUAUAAAGCCGUGUCCAGUGGAGUUUUCAUUAUAUGUGUGUGCCAGCCACUCUUAUAAACGGUUAACUACCAAGACAUCUAGGAUUGUCUCAUUUCUUUCUACUCUAGAUCGUGCCAUGAAGUUUAGAGCGAUAGGUAACCUUAUCUUCCUAUCGAAUUCCAGAUGUAUCAAAUACCCAAGCGAUGGGCAAGAAAAAUCCAAGGUUUUAGAGAGGAUGAUUUUCCAUUGGGAUAUAAUUAUGGAGUACACGUUAUUAACAAAUGAGACUUGAGAGGAUGUUGGAAGUGGGAUACAAUGGAUAAUAGUACAUAUUAGAGAAUAACCUUAUCAGAAAGUACAAAAGUAGUUAUCAUAUUUUAUGGUUAUCAGUUUAUCUCAGUUACCAGUUAUACAGUCUUUCAGUUAGCAAGUUUAUGGUUAUUCAGUAUGCCAGUUAUCAUUUAUGUGGUUACCAGAUCUCCAAUUGUUAGUGAAUCAAAAUUCUGGUGACUGGUGAGCAUACAGUGAUGCCUAUGGGAAGAAAAUGUAAGUAACAGUUAUAAUAGAGAAAUCUUAGCAUAUUUUAGGCCUGGAUUAAGACCAAGACUCACCGGAUGGCGCAGGAAGUGAUUUAUCAGAUGAUGGUAUGCUUUGAAGGAUUGGUUUGUGCAUGGUAGUGUAUUAGUAUGUGUUUUACCUUCCAUAACAACUUCAUUUAAUUCUUGGAAAUGGAGCCACAAGUUGGAUGAUGAUAGUUCAGAUGUCAAACCCUAACAUUGGUCACUAUAGUUUUGGGCAGAAAAGAGCCUAAGGGUAAAAUAACUAGGAGUCAGAAAUGUUUGUUAUUACCAAAGAUCUGAUUUCGUACAACUCAUGCAAAUGACUAGAAGAUAUGAUGUAUGAAAUGAGAACCAAGAGCAGCCAAUAGUGAAUUUCAGGGAACGAUUUUAAGUUGUUCAUAUUUAUUCAAAUCAGAACUAGAAGUACCAUGUUAGUAAGUUACUAUAAGAAGCAGCUAUUGAUGUAAGAUAAAAGAUAUGACAGUUCCCCCUUAGGUUAUGUGACUAAGUGAUUACCCAGAUGUUUACUGUAUGAUAUAAUUUUGUAUUGUAUAGAAAGUUUGGGGUUAGAUAUUCUAAUUUUGUUUAAAACAAAUGAAAUUUCCCUAAGUGUGAACCAUGUACACAAAAAAAAGGGAUAAUAUGCGACUGUAGAAUAAGGUCAGAUGGUGAGGGAAGUUAGGAAUAACCUUAUGCUUCACUUUAGUUAUUCAAAGUAGAACAAGAAAACAUGAUACUAGCAGAUGGUUUGUCGAAUAAUAGUAAGUAAGUUUUGAGUAGAUACAAUAAAUUAGCAAUUCCAGCAGAGCUAGUAGAGGCACAAUUUGAUUCACUUAGCCAAGUUAACUCUAGUGAGUGAAUGAUAGUUUGAAAUACCGAACACGUGUUAUAACCCAAAGAGUUUAAGUUAAACCCGAAGUAUAGUGAUAGUGGAAGAAAGGAAAAUCAGCUAGCAUUAAGAGUGCAAACUACAGAAGAAUAGCCUUUAAGAGUUAUCAAAAAGAGGUUUCCCCAAUAUUGACAGUGUGAGCAGAGUUAAAUUAUUAAGAUUGUGUAUGAUAGUUGUGAAUACAUUAGCUUUCCGUUAUGUGAAUAAUUUAGUUUUUCCUAGCUCAGAAGUAAGUUGGAAGAUGAGUCGUCAUUGGCGUAGAGUGCAAAGAAUUGCAGAAAAUAAGAAAAGUUAUUUGGAUCCCUACAAAAAGAGAAGGAUCCGCAAGUAUAAGAGCUUUGGUCUAAGGGGUGAUGUGAAAAUUUUCAGUAAGUCCAGUUAGAGAUUUGAAACCCGAAUAGUUAGCAUGGUAUAUGAAAAAGAAAAUUAGUUCGGUAAUGAGGUAAAAUUAUAUAAUUACCACAAGGAAUAUGUCUAGCAUAUGUAAGAAAUACAAAGUGAGUAGAAUGAUCACCGAGCUUAGUUAUUGAUGAUAAAGUGAUCACAAAAAAGUUAUAAAAUCAUGCCUAUUUAUGUGUUAUUUGCACGAGACUCUCAAAUUUAGAGUACAUGUCAAAGACUUAGUUCAAAUAAUACUAUAAGUGUUUUCAGGAAGUGCUUAAGAAGAUAAUCAAGUGUGGGAAGUAUAACUCUUGAUUGAGGUAGAUAAGAGAAAUCUGGUGAAAGACGUUCACCGCUUAGCCUAGCUAGGAGUUCAAUUUGCAUACUUCAAAGAUAGUAGAGUUGUUGUCUAGAAUAUGACUUGUUCCUCCUUAGUAGCCGAAGUGAAGGACAAAUAGUUUGAUGAUCCCUACUUGUUGUAGCUGAAAGAGGGGAUUCACAGGUAUAAGAUGAUGGCUUUUAAACAAGGGGAGAUGAUAGUACUUUGAGGUACCAUGAUAGAUUGUGUAUUCCAAACAUAGAUGGACUUAGUGAGGGAGGAAGAUGUUAGAAGCCCAUAAUUCCAGGUAUUCUAUCCACCCAGGUUCCCCAAAGAUGUAUCAUAAUCUCAAGGAAAUUUAUUGGUGGAAUGAUACAUACACAAGAGAGAGAGAGAGAGAGAGAAAGAGAGAGAAAUAUCACAGACUUUGUGGCCAAGUGUCCGAAGUAUCAACAUGUGACGACCCGGCCGGUCGUCUUAAGAAAUUAUGCCUGGAUCCCCUAUUAACUGCUUUCCCCAAGUUUAAUUAUGCUAUUUUGAUUUGCUGGGAUGUUCGGUUUUGAGUUUCGAAGAGUUUUGGGACACUUAGUCCCUANNNNNNNNNNNNNNNNNNNNNNNNNNNNNNNNNNNNNNNNNNNNNNNNNNNNNNNNNNNNNNNNNNNNNNNNNNNNNNNNNNNNNNNNNNNNNNNNNNNNNNNNNNNNNNNNNNNNNNNNNNNNNNNNNNNNNNNNNNNNNNNNNNNNNNNNNNNNNNNNNNNNNNNNNNNNNNNNNNNNNNNNNNNNNNNNNNNNNNNNNNNNNNNNNNNNNNNNNNNNNNNNNNNNNNNNNNNNNNNNNNNNNNNNNNNNNNNNNNNNNNNNNNNNNNNNNNNNNNNNNNNNNNNNNNNNNNNNNNNNNNNNNNNNNNNNNNNNNNNNNNNNNNNNNNNNNNNNNNNNNNNNNNNNNNNNNNNNNNNNNNNNNNNNNNNNNNNNNNNNNNNNNNNNNNNNNNNNNNNNNNNNNNNNNNNNNNNNNNNNNNNNNNNNNNNNNNNNNNNNNNNNNNNNNNNNNNNNNNNNNNNNNNNNNNNNNNNNNNNNNNNNNNNNNNNNNNNNNNNNNNNNNNNNNNNNNNNNNNNNNNNNNNNNNNNNNNNNNNNNNNNNNNNNNNNNNNNNNNNNNNNNNNNNNNNNNNNNNNNNNNNNNNNNNNNNNNNNNNNNNNNNNNNNNNNNNNNNNNNNNNNNNNNNNNNNNNNNNNNNNNNNNNNNNNNNNNNNNNNNNNNNNNNNNNNNNNNNNNNNNNNNNNNNNNNNNNNNNNNNNNNNNNNNNNNNNNNNNNNNNNNNNNNNNNNNNNNNNNNNNNNNNNNNNNNNNNNNNNNNNNNNNNNNNNNNNNNNNNNNNNNNNNNNNNNNNNNNNNNNNNNNNNNNNNNNNNNNNNNNNNNNNNNNNNNNNNNNNNNNNNNNNNNNNNNNNNNNNNNNNNNNNNNNNNNNNNNNNNNNNNNNNNNNNNNGAUAAUGAGAUUUUGAUCUGAGGGUCGGAAUGGAAUUUUGGAAGUUGGAAUAGCUCCAUAGUGUUGAAUGUGACGUGUGUGAAAAAUUCCAGGUCAUUUGGAUAAGGUUUGAUAGACUUUUUGAUCGAAAGCAUAUUUUGAGAAAUUUGGAGUUCUUAGGCUUGAAAUCCAUGAUUAAUUCGAGCUUCCAAUUUUGUUUUAGGUGUUCUAAGGAUUGGUACAAGUUUGUAUAGUUGUUUCUGACUUGUUUGUGCCUUUGAUUGAGGUCUCGGAGGCCUCGAGAAUAUUUUGGAUGGUUGACGGAAGAAUUUUGGGAGUUGGAAGGUUGCAGUCUCAGCUGAUAUCUGUCAUAACCACAGCUGCGGUUUGGGUUCCGCAGGUGCGGAGCCGCAGAAGCGGCUAUUACAUCGCAGAAGUGGGAAAAUGGAGGGCCAGCAUAGACCGCAGAAGCGGAUGCUCCAUCGCAAAAGCGUGUCCGCAGAAGCGGACUCCUUGUUCGCAGAUGUGGAAACCGCCGCAGAAGCGAGAUCUCUUAUCGCACCUGCGGGACCGCAGGUGCGGCUCACCUGGUCGCAGAUGCGAAACUUGCUGGACAAAAUGUUUUAAGUUUUGAAGCCAUUUUUACAAAUUUGGAGCUCGAGGAGAGGCGAUUUUUGGGAGAUUUUGAGAGAAACAACGGGGUAAGUAUUCUUAACUUAAUUUUGGUUAGAUUACUCGAAUCUAUUACUAGUUUUGGCAUUAAAUCUGUGAAUUUAGUUGGAAGAGUUUCAAAACCCUCUAGGAUAUAUUUGAGGGUUUGAGGGUCAAAAUGUUAUGGUAUUUGGAUAAUUUUGGUAUGGUUAGACUCGUGAGAGUGCGAGGUUUCUGGAAAUAUAAAUUUUAUCCGAUUCCAAGAAGUGGGCCCGAGGGGCGUUUUGGUCAUUUUAUAUAAUUUUGCGUAUUAGCUUAGAAUUUAAUUGUACAAUCAGUUACUUGAAGUGUUAUAUACAUUAUGCGAUUGAAUUGAAUAGAUUUGGGUCAUUUGGAGUCGAGUACUCAUGGCAAGAGCGUGGUUUCAGAUUGAUUUUUGAGCUGGUUCGAGGUAAGUGACUUGUCUAACCUUGUGUGGGGGACUUUCCUCUUAUGAUUGAUAUUGUGAUAAUUGAAAUGCCUUAUACGUGAGAUGACAAGUGCGUACUUGUUCUAAUUGUUGAAAAUCCGGUUUUUCAUUAAGUAACCUUAAUUGUGUUUUCCCUUUCUACUUAUGUUACUUGCACCUUUAAACCUAUUGUUAGUUAGAGAAGCAUAUCUAAUUGACUUAAUUGCUUUAUUUGCUUUAACUUCCUUAUUUGUAUUAUGUGAAGCAUGCUAGGUUAGAAUUGUCUGUGUUACCUUGUUAUGAAGUUGAGUUUAUUUGAGUAUUCCUUGUGCCAUUNNNNNNNNNNNNNNNNNNNNNNNNNNNNNNNNNNNNNNNNNNNNNNNNNNNNNNNNNNNNNNNNNNNNNNNNNNNNNNNNNNNNNNNNNNNNNNNNNNNNNNNNNNNNNNNNNNNNNNNNNNNNNNNNNNNNNNNNNNNNNNNNNNNNNNNNNNNNNNNNNNNNNNNNNNNNNNNNNNNNNNNNNNNNNNNNNNNNNNNNNNNNNNNNNNNNNNNNNNNNNNNNNNNNNNNNNNNNNNNNNNNNNNNNNNNNNNNNNNNNNNNNNNNNNNNNNNNNNNNNNNNNNNNNNNNNNNNNNNNNNNNNNNNNNNNNNNNNNNNNNNNNNNNNNNNNNNNNNNNNNNNNNNNNNNNNNNNNNNNNNNNNNNNNNNNNNNNNNNNNNNNNNNNNNNNNNNNNNNNNNNNNNNNNNNNNNNNNNNNNNNNNNNNNNNNNNNNNNNNNNNNNNNNNNNNNNNNNNNNNNNNNNNNNNNNNNNNNNNNNNNNNNNNNNNNNNNNNNNNNNNNNNNNNNNNNNNNNNNNNNNNNNNNNNNNNNNNNGCCAUUGUUGUGUGUUUUACUUUGGGACUACGGGACGACAUCCUGGGAGAUCCCCUGUACGCAUUUACGAUUUGAGCUGAAAUGUGGGAUACCGAGAGAUCCCCAGUACAUAUAUUGAGGAUACCAAGAGAUUCUCGGGAUACUAAGAGAUCUCUAGCAUAUAUUGAGAAUACUGAGAGAUCCUCGGGAUACCAAGAGAUCCCUAUCAUACAUUGAGGAUACCAAGAGAUCUCUAUCAUACAUUGAGUAUAUCGAGAGAUCCUCGGGAUACCAAGAGAUCCCUAGCAUAUAUUGAGGAUACCGAGAGACCUCGGUAUACCAAGAGAUCCCUAUCAUACAUUGAGGAUACCAAUAGAUCCUCGGGAUACCAAUAGAUCCCUGGCAUAUAUUGAGGAUACCAAGAGAUCCUCGGGAUACUAAGAGAUCCCCGGUUAUUACCCUUAUUGUGCAUGGUAUUUCCUUGUAGUUGCCUUUAUCUCUGUUUCUGUUAUUGUACUCUUAUUAUACUGUAUAGAUUCUUAAUAUAGAUUCUCAGUUUUACUGCUUAUUCAUCCUAUCAUUUUAUUAUUUAUUAACCUCAGUAGGGCCCUGACCUUCCUCGUCACUACCCAACCGAGGUUAGGCUUGGCAUUGCUGUGUAUCGUUGUGGUGUACUCAUGCCCCUUCUUCGCAUGUUUUUCAUGUGCAGAUCCAGGUACCUCUACUCAGGCUUACCAUUCUUGAGGCGAGACGAUUCUACAGGACUUUGAGGUAUAUCUGUCGCGUUCGCAGACCUAGGAGUCUCUUUCUAUUCUUGCAUUUUAGUAUUUAGCUCUUUUGCACUUCUGUUCUAAUUAGACAAAAUUCCGUAGUUAGAGCUAUGUAGUAUUUCUUUUCUUUGCUUGUGAUUCAUGGGUUUUUGGGUCUUGGAUUUGUGUUUGGUAUUGAGAGUUAAACAUGGUGUAUGCCAAGCGGCACAUGUAAACACUGUUACUGCUUUAUUUCUGUUUAAAAUUGUUUACUUCUGCAAACUUUGGUUUUCUUUUGCAAAUUAGGCUUACCUAGUCGUAGAGACUAGGUGCCGUCACAAUGGUUCACAGAGAACGAACCGGGGUCGUGACACAACAAAUGAAAGUCGAGCAACAGAAAGCCCAGUGUUUUACCAUAGUUUACACAUAUUUUUGAGUGGAGAUGGUAAAUAUGGAAUUUAUAACAGGAUUAUCUUGCUCAUCUUGAAAGCAUAAUUUGAUUGGGUGAUUGUAAACCAACUUACCAAGUCAGCACAUUUCUUGCUAGUAAAGAUUACAAAUUCAGCAAAAGAUUAUACCAAGUUAUACAUUCAGGAAAUCGUCUGAUUGCAUGGGACUCCGUGGUCCAUUUCAGACCAUGGUGCUCAGUUUACAAUGAACUUUUAGAACUCAUGUCAUAAAGGAUUAGGCACAAGUUUUCCAUUCUCAGAAAGAUGGAAAGGCAGAGCGCAUUUUUCAAACACUUGAGGAUAUCCUUGAUUUUAAAGGCAAUUGGGAUGAUCACAUAACUCUCAUUAGGUUUUCUAAUAAUAACACCUACCAUUCUAGUAACAAGAUGGCACCGUGCGAGACUCUGUAUGGGAGAAGGUGUAGAUCGCCAAUUGGUUGGUUCAAAGUUGGUGAAGAGGAGUUGUUGAGACCAAAUUUAGUCUAUCAAACUAUGGAGAAAGUUAAGGUGAUUCAAGAGCAUUUGAAUACGACUUAGAGCCGCCAAAAGUCCUAUUCGAACGUGCGACAUAGAGACCUAGAGUUUCAAGUUGAUGAUUGGAUAUUUCUGAAAGUUUUGCCUAUGAAAGGCGUUAUGAGAUUUGGGAAGAAGGGGAAGCAUAGUCCCUGCAAUAUUGGGCCAUAUAGAAUCUUGCGAAGGAUUAGUAAAUUAGCUUAUGAGUUGGAGUUGCCACCAGAAUUAGCGGUGGUACAACCAGUAUUUCACGUGUCAUUUUAUAACAUUCAAGUUUCCAGUACUCAGAUAGUCAUGUCAGUUUAGUACUCAGAUACUCAUGUCAGUUCAAUACACAACUACUCAUGUCAGUUUAAUACUUAGAUAUUCAUGCCAGCUUAGUGCUUAGAUAUUGAUGUUAGUUCAAUACUCAAAUAUUCGUGCCAGUUCAAUAUUUAUGUAUCCAUUUCAAUAGUUCAGUAUUCACGUAUCCAUGGCAGGCCAAUAUUCAGUCAAUGUAGUAGUCAUUUAGUUCAGUAUCUCAAUAGUUCAGUAAUGAUGUAUUCAUUCAGUUUAGUAUGUAAGUGUUAAUGAAAGUUCAUGCUCCCACCAGACCCAUUUAAGGUCCGGAGUUAACCGAAGUUACAGCCAAGACAAUUAUUCGAGGACGAAUGAUCCCAAGGGGGAGAUAAUGUAACACCCCGUAAAUUUGGCUUAGGUAUGGACAUGUUAAAUGAAUAGUAAUAGACAUGUGAAGUUCUAUUGGGAUGAUUAUGGGUAGAAAUAGUUGUUUUAGAAUUAAGAUAGAGAUUGAGGUGCAUAAGAUUCGACAAAAUCGGCUAAGUUUACAAAAGGUUCAUCUUCCAGCAGAAUUUAGUGUAAAUGUGUAAGGAAUUGGGAAAACUCAAAAUUGGAAAGUUGUAGGGCUUUGAAAUAUCUUUCCAACGAUAUAUUAUGGAGCUCGAACGGAUCUCUGUGCAAAAAGUUAUGUAUGUUUUACAGAGCAAUGUGCAAUAUGCGUGCCCAGAGGGUCACGUGCGCGGUCGUGCAUAUAUGGCAGUGCUAAUGCCAUUUUGCGCAGUCAGGUGCGUGGUCAGGCCUUUAGGUGCAUGGGGGCGCACUUGGGGGUUAUUUUAAAGCCCUACUUCGUCCCCCACAACCCCAAAACACAAAAACUUUCUCUAGGAAGGGGAGCUCUCAAAAACCUAACUCCUUAAAGGUCCCUCCAAUAUCCAAAGUAGGUUCUAGUGGUGAUUCUAAGUUAAUUUCAAUUUUCCAACAUCUUAUUAACAUGGGUAAACCCUCCAUAUCAUUAGAUAUUCGAUUGGGAUAUCAUAGUUGAGAGAAGGAACCCUAGAACUCGAAUUCAAGGGGAUUGAACUUCAAAAAGGUAAUGUCUUCACCCUCUAAUUGAUUCUAGCAUUGGAUUAAUGAUUAUAGACUCUAGUUCAUGAGAUAUGAGUUGGUGGGUUUGAUAGAAAAGUAUGAACAGAUUAUAGGUUUGGGUUGUUGAUUAUUGGUUAUUGGUUAAUGGUGUUGUUUACCUUAUGGGUGAUGAAGAAUGAUAUUGAUUAUAACCAUUUGAGACUUUAGAAUUUAUCUAGGAGUAAGAGAAAGGGUUAUUGGGUGUAGAAACACCAUUAAUAAGGACUAUAAAGCUUUAUUCUUACCAAGUGUUUGAUAAAAUGCUUAAGUGACCAAAACAUGAAUAUCAUAGCUAAUAUGGAAUCCCUUUGAGUUACCAGCUAUCAGUUAUCAUUUCAGUUUCAGUUUCAAUAGUUAUUAUAUCAAUUAUCAAUUAUCAAUUCUCAGUGAUCCGCUCAAUAUUAGUUUCAGCAUUUAUAGUUCUUUUAUUUAGUUGCUUUACAUACCAGUGCAAUUCAAAUGUACUGACGUCCCUUUUGCCCGGGGCCUGCAUCUCACGAUGCAGGUAAUGAUUUACAGGUUGACGAUUUAGAGCGUUAGGAUUUUUAUACCAGCUAAUUGGUGAGCCCCGAUUCUUUCGGGGCAUUAUCAUUACUUUAUAGUCUUUCAGUAUUUACAAACAGUCAGUAUUUUCAGUACUUCAUUAGAGGCUUCAUAGACUAGAAUAAUAGUUAGACAGAGUCACAGGCUUUUCAUAUUAAGCUAUGUUGGCUACAAAUAUGUUUCACAAUUGUAUUAGUAUUUCCGCACUUUUAUUUAUAUCAUCCAGACUUUCAGUAUAUCAUCAUGUGUUAGUUUAUCUUUCGCAUUCAGUAUGUUAUGACAUCACAUGUUGAUUCAGUCAUCCAGUUGGUUCACUCGGUCGCAUGUAGUUAGGCACCGAGUGUCUUGUUAUGUCCAUGCCCAGGUUCGGGGCGCGACAACUGACCUCGCAACUCUUCCCUAUGAGAAGGUGGAAUAUACCUAUCCAAGAGAAGCUGUGUAAACUGGUCCCAAGUCAUAGGACGAGAACCCGCUGGUCUGCCAAGAAGAUAAGACUGCCACCAUCUACGGGCCCCGCCCUCCAGCUGGAAGGUAGUGAAAUCCACCCCAUGGGACUCCAAUAUCCUCAUGUUGUGCAGUCUGUCCCUGCACCGAUCAAUAAAGUCUUAGGGAUCCUCAUGCCUCUCACCCCCGAAGAUAGAAGGGUGUAGCCUAUUCCAUCUAUCCAAUAACUUCUGUGGAUCGUCGUGCGCAGCUCGUCUAGGCUCAGGUGCAGCUGUGGCAACUGAUUGGGCUCCGCACAUGGGUAGUGCACCCAGGGUCUGAUAUACGGCAGCCACAUGCCCUAGAGCCUGAGCAAUAGGGGUCUGUGCUUCACCUCCCGCCUGAGAUAUGGCUGGGUCCAUAGGAAAUAAACCAGCUUGAGUCAUAGUGUCCAUGAACCACAACAUACGGCCCAUAACCUCCUAAAACUCGUGCUGACAUGAAAUCUACUGGAGUUAGCUCUGCGGCGGGCACAUCGCCCUACUCCUCAAUAAUGGGAUCUUCUACUAGAUCCGCUGGUGGUGCAACUAGGGCAACUCUAGGAUGUCCUCGUCCCAUACCUCAGGCCAGUGCCCUCCCCCGGCCUCUAGCAAUGGGGGGAGCAACUCCUUCCAGGUUCAAAAUGUCUGUUGCGCGUGUUCUCAUCAUCUAUGAGAGAAUAAGAGAAAGAACUUAGUAUACUAUCUGUCACACCUCCUUUUUAUCUACACUCCCGAAGAGGGUGUAUAAGGGAGUUUUUUCCAACUUAAAGUGACAACCGAAACGGGAUAAUUUUUAUUAAAAAAUCAGAGUCGCCACUUGGGAUAAUUUAUAGUGUCCCAAUUCACCGGUUCAAAUCCCGAAUCCAGGAAAAGAUUGACUCUGUAUUACAGUUCGCGAACCAGAAAUCCGAGUAAGGAAUUCUGUUAACCCGGGAGAAAGUGUUAGGCAUUCCUGAGUUCCGUGGUUCUAGCACGGUCGUCAACUGUUAUAAAUGGCCUAUUAUCUAAUUUUAAAACACUUUUAAACCCAUGUGCAUUUUUAACUUUUGAAAACCGCUUUUACUCAAUUUUUAAAGAGGAUUGAACGUAGUUUAAAAUACGUCUUUGGAUCGCGCCAUACGAAAUGCACCCGCAAUCCUAAACAUAAUUUAUUCAACGUCUUAAAAUUUGAUUUGGGUCACAUGAAAUGCACACCCGAGUUUAGGAAAGUAAUUUUAUAGCGCGCCUAAAGCAACUACGCACUUUCAAGUUUGCGGGGGCCAUGAAAAAUUCAACUAAAUGGCACACCUCAAUUUCUAAAGGAUUAAAAUUAAUUAAGUGAGGGCCAUGCAUUUUGAGAUUUUAUUUGGCACGACGCACCUUAAAUGACUCAGAAAAGAUUUGCUAAUUGUAUACAACCCUUGGGGUAAAUGUGUUACACCUUUAAUUUUCGAUAAGGAUCAAAUUACCCAUAUUGUAUAUUCACUGUCAACUUCCACAAAACAAAAAAAGAAAAAUUGAAUUCCAAACAGGAUAGUCAGGGCAACGGGAAUUAUAACAAAGGAGAAGAACUUCAUUUAUACACCUCUAACAUACAUCAAAAAUAUCAUGCCUUCAGUAUACAAUUAUAUAUAAAAGAGUUCUCAAUCUUGAAAAGGGUCACUCUAAAUCAAAAUUAUUAAAAAAAAUUAAUAGCAACAACCUACAUUUAAUUCUUAUAAAAUUAGACAGAAUCAAAGCAAACAACUUCUUUCUUAUUAAGUAUCAAAGAAACCAUCUUUUCAAUUCCCGUGUAUCAAAUUUCCAUCCUUGAACUGUUUCUUGAUAUCUAAUUAAAGAUUUCACAACAUACUCACACAAGCUAACAUAUACUCCAAGAAAUACAAACCCACAUCCAAUUGUUUUCAUUUUACCACAAUACAAAAUCACAAAAAAAAACACAAAUAAAUAAAUAACCUGGAAUCUCGAAGCAAGCAAAACUCAGCAGAGACAAGAGUUAUCCCAUUGACGAUUGACAAAACCACUCGUUGUUUACAAGCUUAUUCAUGAAAGGGAUCUUUUCACGAAUAUGUAGAGACCAUUCUAAUUUUGUGGCAAAGAGCUUUGGAAUUUCGCCAAAAAUCAGAAGAAUGGAGAGAGAGCGUGGUUGUUGACUUGCUAUUUGAGAGGGAAUCGAUCAGAAGGAGGUGGGGCGUUGGUUGGUUUAAGGUGAAGACCAUGGAAUUUAUGCUCUUCUUCUGUGAAGAAGAAGAAAAUCGACAAGGGGGAGGGGAG